GAAAGGCGUGCGAUACAGGGUGACAGCCCCGUACACAAAAAUGCACAUAUUGUGAGCUCGAUGAGUAGGGCGGGACACGUGGUAUCCUGUCUGAAUAUGGGGGGACCAUCCUCCAAGGCUAAAUACUCCUGACUGACCGAUAGUGAACCAGUACCGUGAGGGAAAGGCGAAAAGAACCCCGGCGAGGGGAGUGAAAAAGAACCUGAAACCGUGUACGUACAAGCAGUGGGAGCCUCUUAAUGAGGUGACUGCGUACCUUUUGUAUAAUGGGUCAGCGACUUAUAUUCUGUAGCAAGGUUAACCGAAUAGGGGAGCCGAAGGGAAACCGAGUCUUAACUGGGCGUUAAGUUGCAGGGUAUAGACCCGAAACCCGGUGAUCUAGCCAUGGGCAGGUUGAAGGUUGGGUAACACUAACUGGAGGACCGAACCGACUAAUGUUGAAAAAUUAGCGGAUGACUUGUGGCUGGGGGUGAAAGGCCAAUCAAACCGGGAGAUAGCUGGUUCUCCCCGAAAGCUAUUUAGGUAGCGCCUCGUGAAUUCAUCUCCGGGGGUAGAGCACUGUUUCGGCAAGGGGGUCAUCCCGACUUACCAACCCGAUGCAAACUGCGAAUACCGGAGAAUGUUAUCACGGGAGACACACGGCGGGUGCUAACGUCCGUCGUGAAGAGGGAAACAACCCAGACCGCCAGCUAAGGUCCCAAAGUCAUGGUUAAGUGGGAAACGAUGUGGGAAGGCCCAGACAGCCAGGAUGUUGGCUUAGAAGCAGCCAUCAUUUAAAGAAAGCGUAAUAGCUCACUGGUCGAGUCGGCCUGCGCGGAAGAUGUAACGGGGCUAAACCAUGCACCGAAGCUGCGGCAGCGACACUAUGUGUUGUUGGGUAGGGGAGCGUUCUGUAAGCCUGUGAAGGUGGCCUGUGAGGG
rnacentral:rRNA from 1 species